UGGGUGUCCCCACCCUAAGCCCCAGACAAGCUGGGCCAAGAGACAAUCCUGGCUGCUCUGCCUUGCCUGGCCUACACUGGAGUCCUCCACCAAUCAGCAGCUUCCUGCCUGGGUCCAGAGAGCCAUGCCGGGAAGGAAGGUCUGUGAUGGGAGCAUGGAGCAUGCCAUCUCUGCUGUUUCUACCAUCUGCCAAGCCCCUGGCCUUAUCCCCAAGGCAAUGACCAUGUGACAUACCACAAAACGACCUGAAUCAACAAGUGAAGGUUCACGUACAGGAGAAGAAACAGGAAUGAUCUUUGUCUUUAUUUUGGGGAGAGGACAAUCCAGCCGUCGUGGGACUAUUCCAGCCCACCUUCCAUAUGCUUCGGUCAGUUUGAGCCACGAAGAGUAGAUCUUGGGCCAAUUUCCACAGCAGCCACGAGUCCAAGGAUACAGAAUCAGGCAGGCCGAUAAAAGGAUUUUGUGUUGGAUUUCACAGGAAGGAGAUCAAAUGGUAACCCACUGAAGACUACCUUGUGCUAGAAUGGAACUGCCCUUGCCAUCUCUCUUUAACAGAAGCACAUCCUGAGAACCUACCUGAGAGCUCAAGGUAAGAGUCUGAACACUGUCACCACAUACAGACAGCUAACUAUCUCCUUACCGUACAA